GUCUAAUCCUGUUGCUCAAAUCUUUGUCUUCCAGCUCGGCCCGAGCUGACUCAGUUCAACUCAAUAAAAAUGAGUCAGGAAUCGUUCAUUUACAGCUUCGUCGCCAGAGGCACCAUGAUUUUGGCCGAGUACACCGAGUUCACCGGGAACUUCCCGGCGAUUGCAGCUCAGUGUCUUCAGAGAUUGCCUUCUUCUAAUGACAAGUUUACCUACAAUUGUGACCACCACACCUUCAAUUUUCUCGU
rnacentral:misc_RNA from 1 species